UGGAUCAUCUACCUCUUUGUGGGGGAUAACUCUGGGAAAUCGGAGCUAAUACCGCAUAAGUCCGAGAGGAGAAAGCAGCAAUGCGCAGAGAGAGGAGUCCGCGGCCGAUUAGUUAGUUGGCAGGGUAAAGCCUACCAAGACAAAGAUCGGUAGCCGGCCUGAGAGGGCACACGGCCACACUGGCACUGAAACACGGGCCAGACCUCCGUACGGGAGGCAG
rnacentral:rRNA from 1 species